UACGUAGGGGGCGAGCGUUAUCCGGAAUUACCGGGUGUAAAGGGAGCGUAGACGGCGAAGUAAGCCUGAAGUGGAAGCCCGCGGCCCAACCGCGGAACUGCUUUGGGAACUGCUUAGCUGGAGUAUGGGAGGGGUAAGCGGAAUUCCUGGUGUAGCGGUGAAAUGCGUAGAUAUCAGGAGGAACACCGGUGGCGAAGGCGGCUUACUGGACCAUGACUGACGUUGAGGCUCGAAAGCGUGGGGAGCGAACAGG
rnacentral:rRNA from 1 species